CGCCUUAUACUCCUACGGGAGGCAGCAGUGGGGAAUCUUCCACAAUGGGCGAAAGCCUGAUGGAGCAAUACCGCGUGAGUGAAGAAGGUCUUCGGAUCGUAAAGCUCUGUUGUUAGAGAAGAACAAGAGGUGUAGUAACUGGCACCUCCUUGACGGUAUCUAACCAGAAAGUCACGGCUAACUACGUGCCAGCAGCCGCGGUAAUACGUAGGUGACAAGCGUUGUCCGGAUUUAUUGGGCGUAAAGCGAGCGCAGGCGGUCUUUUAAGUCUGAUGUGAAAGCCCACGGCUCAACCGUGGAGGGUCAUUGGAAACUGGAAGACUUGAAUGCAGAAGAGGAAAGUGGAAUUCCAUGUGUAGCGGUGAAAUGCGUAGAUAUAUGGAGGAACACCAGUGGCGAAGGCGACUUUCUGGUCUGUAAUUGACGCUGAGGCUCGAAAGCGUGGGGAGCGAACAGGAUUAGAAACCCCUGUAGUCCACGUACCA
rnacentral:rRNA from 1 species